GUGCUUGCUUUGGCAGCACAUAUACUAAAAUUGGACAGAUACAGAGAAGGUUAGCAUGGUCCCUGUGCAAGGAUGACAUGCAAAUUCAUGAGGCAUUCCAUGUUUUU
rnacentral:snRNA from 1 species